rnacentral:lncRNA from 1 species
GCCUUCUCCUCUGCCACCUCGGCCUUCGCCUCCUCCUCCACUGCUGGUGGCGCCGCCUCCUCGACAGCCUUGGGCUCCUCCCCGGUUGGCUUCUCGACGACCACUUCAGCGGGCUUCUCGGCUUCAGAAGCAGGGGCCUCCGGUUCUGGCUCUGGCUUUGGUUCUUCUUUCGGUUCCUCAGCCUCUGGUUCGGCCUUGGCCUCCGGCACCUCGACUGCAGGCUCUUCAAGAGGCUUCUCCUCGGGCUCUGCCGCUGCUGGUGCAUCUGGGGCCGGCUUCUCGGGUGCGGCGGCUCGGGGCUUCUUCUUUGGACUCUUCGAC